UUUCCUUGUCCUCUGCCCUCCGCCCUCCUUUCUUAUGGCUUUCACCCUGAUUCAAAUCACAGGUUCUACUACCCGGUUGGUUGUCAACAACCUGCUCAUCAGUCUUCAAGAUUCGGUGCUGUGCAGCCUCACCAUCUUGUGUGUGCUUCCAGGUUUCACAGAAUGGUUUUCUUCGGUGCUUAGAGAAAAUUCAAAGACUGGAAAGAUCCUGGAGGCACAAGGAGAAGGCAGAGAUGCAGAAAGAAGAAAGCUGAAAGGCUGAGUCUGAAAGCAUGAAGAAGAGUACAGCACUCAGAUCAAGCAUACUUCCAUCCAUAUAAACUACUGAAAAAGUGCUCUGCUGAAGUUACCAUCACCAUUUGCAAUCUGCCCGUUACUUCCUAUCUGUGUUAUUGUAGCUCAUUUAUAACUGGGUAGGUGUCACCUGGGGAACUGACUUCAUGAUCCAGGCCCACAAGGAGUCCUGACCCUUCCUUUCACGUGUGGAAAAUGCUGAUCUUGAGCUGCGGUUUCCAGAAUGUGUUACAGGCCCCCGAGGAGCACAAAAGACAAUUUACUAAAAUGAAGGGCAAACUUUGUUCAGUGACAGUAUCUUAGCCCAUGACGUGUAUCUGAGGUGUGAUUAUUGCUAAUUAAAAUAAAGAGUAAA